rnacentral:tRNA from 2 species
GGGUGAUUAGCUCAGCUGGGAGAGCGCCUGCCUUACAAGCAGGAUGUCGGCGGUUCGAUCCCGUCAUCGCCCACCA